rnacentral:lncRNA from 1 species
AUGGUUUCAGGGUGAGAUGCAAGCUAUCGCUUAUGUCUACAACUCCUAGGACACGUUCUAGGUAGCUAAUCUAGAAUCAGACAUUAAUGACAAUCCUAAAGAUGAAUAUCACAACUUAGCAAUCUAUAGUUAGGGAUAAUCUCUUAUAACCUAUUUAAACCCUAAAUCUAACAAAGAGAAAUACUCAGAUAUGGCCAAGCAAUUCAUAACAACAAUUAGGUAUGAAAACUGCAUUAGAUAAAUAAAUAUAUAUUAAUGGAAUUUCAAUCACAAAUCUUUUUGGUUCCUCUCUC